UACGAAGGGGGCUAGCGUUGCUCGGAAUUACUGGGCGUAAAGCGCACGUAGGCGGAUCUUUAAGUCAGGGGUGAAAUCCCGAGGCUCAACCUCGGAACUGCCUUUGAUACUGGUAGUCUCGAGUCCGGAAGAGGUGAGUGGAAUUCCGAGUGUAGAGGUGAAAUUCGUAGAUAUUCGGAGGAACACCAGUGGCGAAGGCGGCUCACUGGUCCGGUACUGACGCUGAGGUGCGAAAGCGUGGGGAGCGAACCGG
rnacentral:rRNA from 1 species